GUGACACCCUCACGCCUUCCGGGUGUUCCAGGCUCCUAGACAACUCUGUUUUCUGUGCCCUGGCUCUGCUGACCUGCCAUCCCCUGGGCCCUCCAGGACUACACUCUCAGGGAUCCCAGCCCUCUCAGGGAUCCUGAGUUGGGAGCCACGGCAGGGAUCUGAUGGGCCACUAACUGGCUGUUGCCCUUGGAUGAGCUGCCAGACCUCCCUGGACCUUGACUUCCCUGUGUAAAAACCCAAGGUUGAGGACAGUCAUCUCCAAGGUUGCCGCAGUGCCGGGGCCUCUCUAACUUUUCAAGACUGACCGCCAGGCACAAUCCUUCACAAGCACAUCUGAGCGACUUCCCCAGCCAAGACCCCAGCAGCAGGCCUGAAAGCUGAAUUCUCUUCCAGAAUCAGGGGCCCUGGGUGGAUUGGUAUGCAGCUGAUGGCCAAUAAGGGAGCCGUGCGGGGCGUCGGACCGGGAGGGUUUGGAACCGGGAGAGCGGUGGCUGCAGGAGCCCGGGAGAAGGAGGAGGAGAAAGAGGAGGAGAAGGGAGACGGAGGAGGAGGAAGGAGGCGGGCGGGCUCGCGGACCGGCGGGCUGACGGGUGCGCAGAGCAAAGAGGCAGCCUCGGCACUGCCCGACUCGGCAGCAGGUGACCCCAGGCCGGCGGGCUCAGGUCCCAGCGAUCGUCGCGCCCGCUGCGCUGUCGCUCCAACUUUGCAGGGACCAGCGUCCCCGUUCCGCUGCACGCUUCGGCUCCGAGCUGCGCGCCUGCGGUAAUGGCGGCCCCUUUGGCAAGGCGCGCUACCCCCCGCGGGCAGCCGGAGGCUGGGGGACGCUAGUCCCCGGGGAUCGUUGCACCUGCCCAAUCUCAACUUUCAGCUUUCCUCCGCGCCGGGCUCGGCAGAGGCACGGCCACUGCCAGCCCGGUAAUGGCGGACUCUUCGGCAUCGCUCGCCAC
ensembl:lncRNA